UUAAGUUCAGCGGGUAUCCCUACCUGAUCCGAGGUCCAACUUGAUUGUUUUGGUUGACAGGACCCCCAAAAGGUUCUCUAAAGCGAGAGUCAGUCUGCUACGCUUGAGUCUAUUGAGGCACCGCCAUUGAUUUUCAGGCACGUCACUCCCUGUACAGAGACAGAAUAGACGAAAACCCAAUACCAAGCAAAGGCUUGAGA
rnacentral:misc_RNA from 1 species